rnacentral:rRNA from 1 species
AUACGUAGGUGGCGAGCGUUGUCCGGAAUGAUUGGGCGUAAAGGGCGCGUAGGCGGCCGCUUAGGUCUGGAGUGAAAGUCCUGUUUUCAAGAUGGGAAUUGCUUUGGAUACUGGGGGGCUUGAGUGCAGGAGAGGUUAUCGGAAUUCCCGGUGUAGCGGUGAAAUGCGUAGAGAUCGGGAGGAACACCAGUGGCGAAGGCGGGUAACUGGACUGCAACUGACGCUGAGGCGCGAUAGUGUGGGGAGCAAACAGGAUUAGAUACCCUGGUAGUCCACGCUGUAAACGAUGAAUGCUAGGUGUAAGAGGUAUCGACCCCUUUUGUGCCUGAGUCAACACAAUAAGCAUUCCGCCUGGGGAGUACGGCCGCAAGGUUGAAACUCAAAUGAAUUGACGGGG